AAAGCUCAGUCGAUAGAGCCCGAGGCUCUUAAUCUCAGAGCUGUGGGUUCGAGCCCCAUGUUAGGUG